rnacentral:rRNA from 1 species
ACACAUGCAAGUCGAGCGGAAAGGCCCUUCGGGGUACUCGAGCGGCGAACGGGUGAGUAACACGUGAGCAACCUGCCCCAGGCUUUGGGAUAACCCCGGGAAACCGGGGCUAAUACCGAAUAUGACCUCUGACCGCAUGGUUGGUGGUGGAAAGUUUUUCGGCUUGGGAUGGGCUCGCGGCCUAUCAGCUUGUUGGUGGGGUGAUGGCCUACCAAGGCGACGACGGGUAGCCGGCCUGAGAGGGCGACCGGCCACACUGGGACUGAGACACGGCCCAGACUCCUACGGGAGGCAGCAGUGGGGAAUAUUGCACAAUGGGCGGAAGCCUGAUGCAGCGACGCCGCGUGAGGGAUGACGGCCUUCGGGUUGUAAACCUCUUUCAGCAGGGACGAAGCGUAAGUGACGGUACCUGCAGAAGAAGCGCCGGCCAACUACGUGCCAGCAGCCGC